UGUGGGUUGGUGCAACGGUAGCACAGCGGCCUCAUAAGUCGCAAAUUAGGGUUCGAUUCCCUGAUCCGCAA
rnacentral:tRNA from 1 species